AGGGCCGCGCUUCCCCACGUGGCUGCGAGCUGGGUUCGCUGCGCCCGGGUGGUGGGUUCUCGCCUUAGUUUCUCCCAUCUCGGUCGUCCCUACCCUGGAGUGAUGUCAGCCGUCUCUUCCCUCCGCCUCGGGUCCCACAUUCUCUCCAGAACGCCGAGCGUUCGCUCUAAGGCAGAUGUUUACCAAGACAGGCCUGGCUCGUCUUCCCCGGAUGUAAGGCUCUGCUUUCAAGGGUCAGAGGCCAGUAAGGGAAACGCACGGUACACAAGGAAGUAAAAGAGCAGUUGAGAUCAUGUCAGAUCUGAACAAUUGCAGCUCCGUAAAUGAGGCCGGGUCGUGGAAUAAAAACUGCGACCAGUAGGGUAAGCGCUAGACGCAUGUGGCUCUGUAAAUUAACUG
rnacentral:lncRNA from 1 species